rnacentral:sRNA from 1 species
ACUGUGCCAACAUGGCGGCGCCCAGGUCCUAAUUCGGGAAACGUGCACCUUGACUAAUUCGGUUUUCUGUGGCUACGAGAGCAGGCUUGGCGGGCGGAGGCGCCAGCGGAUGUCUCAUGCAAGGAUCGUCUCUGUGGCUAAGCCUCACUUUCCGCUCCGCCCGGGUGCUCUCUAGAGCCCGGUUUUUCGAGUGGCAGUCCCCAGGGCUGCCGAAUACAGCAGCGAUGGAGAACGGCACCGGGCCCUAUGGAGAAGAACGCCCACGUGAAGUCCAGGAGACGACAGUCACCGAGGGGGCUGCCAAAAUCGCCUUUCCCAGUGCCAACGAGGUCUUUUAUAACCCGGUGCAGGAAUUCAAUCGGGACCUGACGUGAGCAGGGGUCAGACGUUAGCCUGGCAUCGGCUAGUGGGAAGGCCUGCAUGUGCUGGAAGGCCUGGCAGCUUCAGGCCUACG